AGGCUAUGGGGCCACAUAAAAUUUGUCCAGGGGUUAUACAUAACAUAGCACGACAACUGUAAACUAUGUACUACUGUACUAAAGAACCCCCUGAAUGAUGUAGGCAAUGGGGCCACAUAAGACUUUGUCCAUCCAGGGUUACAUUGAGCGACAACUUUAAACUAAAGAACCCCCUGAAUGAUGUAGGCUAUGGGGCCACAUAAGACUUUGUGCAUCCAGGGUUACAUAGCAGGACAACUUUAAACUAAAAAGCUACCAGACUGGGAUUUUAGUGUACUCCAGGAUCUAACAAAUACAUACGUACUACUACGAAGUGUGCAAUGCAUGUAUAUAGUGUACAGUGUUUAGUGUAUACCCUAAGGAUUAAGUGUAGUACAUUGUGCUUUUUAGUGUCACAAGAGUUUAAUAAAGAAUUAUACCUUCAAGAACCAUCCUUUGCCAUUGGAAUAACCACACUACACAUCAUGCAAUCUACUUGCAUGUCACACAGGUAAGGUCUCUAACUUUUUCUUAGUUUAAGGCAUAUUUCCAAGUGUCGUUCCGGCUUA